AUGCCCCUGACGAAUUCCCGGCCUGGCUGGGAAGGGGAAUGUCUGCCUGCCUUGAAGUUUGGUUCGAGAAGAACCGGCGGGCAAGGGCCCCCGCGGGAGCCCCUCGGCCCCCGCCGCUCUCUAGGUCACCGCAGGAAAGGUCAAAGCAACCGUGCGCGGAGAGGCGGCAUCAUGUCGGUACCGGAGAGGGACAGUUGUGCCGGGCUCGGGGCAGCCAGCGCUGGGGCCACGGCCAAGCACAGCCGCACUUUAAGGUCGCCCGAUGUCGGGAGGAGCGCCAGGGACCCCACAACGUCCUGCCCUCGGGACAGGGAGCUUCCCGAAGGGUUUCCCUCUCCUGAGCUCUGCUCGCUGGACAAAACCACCUGGAGCAUCCCCAGGUUCACGUCGGGUACAACGUACACGAGGAUUUUGGGAGGACCAGGAGCACUCCAGAGCGAUCCACACACAGCCGAUCCAGCAGGAAGAGCCCCGGGAGCUCCAGGGCAGGCAGGAGCCCUCUCUCACCCACUCUGGGACCCUCACUCAGGCACUGGCAGGACCCACUGCAGCUCGAUCUGCCCUCCCCGUGCCGGCUCCAGAGGGGAUUGUCCUUGAGCAAUGUCCUAUCCAACCCUGAAAGCACGAUUUGAGUCUUUCUUAAGCACUGGAUGUUCCUGUUUGUCCCACGGCCCUGGAAACCCCUCUUAAAUCACUGCCAGAGUCUUGGCCUCACGGUGUCCCGCGGUGAAGGACCGCACGGGCCAAAGGAGUGUUGGGCACAAAGGAUGUGUGUGACACUUUGCAGUUUCACUGCCAGUCCCUCUCCUUAUGACUGAAGAGAUGAGGAAUGGUCACAGGGCAGGCCCCUAUCCACUCCACACCCCUUCAGCUCCAUAGAUUUAAUGAAAAUUAUUCCAAGCUGGCCAGAGGUUCCCCAGUAUCAAUAACUGCAAUAGCACAACCUCCUACUAGACACCAGAGAAUCCACAUGGAAAAGCAGCAUCCUCCAAACACCUCCAGCUCUUCUCACCUUAAAGCCCUGGUCUGCAGCCUGGGGGUCCCAGUUUACUUUGUGGGCAUGGCUGGGCAGUGCCUGGGAGUCUGUCUCCUCCCUGAGCAUCCCAAGUGUCCUGCUGCCAUGGGGUGGCUGCCCUGUACCCCAGCUGUCCCUGGGGCUGUGCCUGGAAUGUGGAGAUGCCCCUGCUGUCCUGGCCAGAGCCCUUACUCUGUCAAGACAGGACAAGGCUGGCACUGAGGCUGUGGUACAAAAACAGUUCCUAUGACAACCCCAAAUCCCAGACCUGUUUAUCCUGUUUGGUGAAAAUCCACAACAACUGUGAAACCAGGGAAUAAGAUUCAAUAGUGAGACGUGAAAUAAAUCAGAACCAGUGUAAAGCAUGUCACCAUUUCACUCUGGCUUCAUUCCUUUCCAAGGAAAAGCCUGAGAAACAGGGAGCUGCAAAAGGGUGAGCUAACAGAUUUGGAAUUGGAGGGAGCAGGUUCCAACUGUGCAGCAUCCCAGGACUUCUCCCUUUGUCUUUUCUGGCAGGAAUCCAGGUCAGCCCAGCCAGCAGGCACAAACAAGACCCAUGAGGCUUUUUUUGGGGACAAUCUAAAUGUCUCUGAGACCCUCUCACUCCCUCCAGCCCCUUCAAAGCACUGAGCUUC
rnacentral:lncRNA from 12 species